CAAAGACAUUCAGGGAGAUGGAUUGAAAGUCUAUAGAGAGAGACUGGGAAGACACUCGCCCACACAACGGCUAGAACAGAGGGACAGGCUGGGCUGCCUUGUUUCCAACCGUCAGCUGAGGGUUAACCCAGUGAAGAGCUUUUGAGCAGUGAAGGUUGUUCUUGGCAGUGAAAGGUGAAUGGCUUACUGGAUGUUAGAGAACAGUUCGCUCUUCCAAGCACCACCAGCAGCAAGCAGCUUCAGUUUAUUCAUUAGAGGAUCUGCCUACAGACAGCAAGCUCUCUGCCCUCCACGGAUCUCCUUUUCCUCACCCAGAUGGGAAUCCUUUGCUCUCUAGUAGUGCCUGGGAAUUAACUCCAGGGAGGAUACUGCUGGAAGAGUUUCCUGUUAGCAUUGUUUGACAGGAUUUCCCCAGAUUGUCUGGAUUAAUGAGUGCCUUUCUCAGCUGCUCCAGAUAGUGUUAUCUCAGUGUCUCCCCUUUGAUCAUUCAUUGUCAGCUCCUGGAAGGGGUGGGAUGAAUCCAAUGCUGUGCUUUAGAGGCGUCCCAGAUGAAGACAGCCAACGAAGAUUGCCCGUGCUUUCGGCUGUUCAUUUAACCCCCACUGACUAACACCAACUGAUAACCUUUGUGCCCUUUUGAAUGCAUCUGAUCUAACUUCAGAACAUCCUGUAUGAGCAGCAGAGAAGAAGAUGACCUGGUCCUUCUGCUGUGGUUAAGCUGGACAGUGGAAGAAAUAUAACGAAGAUAUGGACAUCGUCUUGCAAUGUGUUUGAUCAGCUUAGAGAAAGAAGAAAGAAGGGAAAGUUCAUCCCUUGGUUAGAUAAUGAAAGAGGCAAAAUGGAAGAUGCAGACGUUAAUGUCCACAACAACGUUUCCACCCAAAGAGUUCAUGAAAUGUGUAUAGUGCAGUGAAGAUGCAGACGCUCUGCAUCACAGUUCAAAGCGUCCAACCCAUUGUGGUGGGGGAAAAAGAAAGAAAGAAAACAUAAAAGACAAUAGAGAGAUGCAGUCAAAUUAAUGUAAUCUCAUGAACUAUAAAUCCCCAGUAAUGGAUUGCAUGUUCAAAAUGUAGGCAAGAAAGCAUGCAUGUUUCACUUCGUUGUAUGGGGGCCAUAGUAUCUCCCCCCAAGAAUAUUUCAUCCCAAUUUUAAAUAUUUUAAAAACACGUAUCUAUAUUAAAGCAGA